UCAGACAACCUAAAUGCCCUAAAGACACCAGAUCCCAUCUGAUAUUGGAAGCUAAGCAAGAUCAGCCUGGUUAAUAUGUGGAUGGGAUAUUGCCAAUGAAUAUUUCAUGUUGUAAGCU
rnacentral:rRNA from 11 species